UACGAAGGGGGCUAGCGUUGCUCGGAAUCACUGGGCGUAAAGCGCACGUAGGCGGAUCUUUAAGUCAGGGGUGAAAUCCUGGAGCUCAACUCCAGAACUGCCUUUGAUACUGGGGAUCUCGAGUCCGGGAGAGGUGAGUGGAACUCCGAGUGUAGAGGUGAAAUUCGUAGAUAUACGGAAGAACACCAGUGGCGAAGGCGGCUCACUGGCCCGGUACUGACGCUGAGGUGCGAAAGCGUGGGGAGCAACAGG
rnacentral:rRNA from 1 species